UCCCUGGUAGCUCAGUUGGUAAAGAAUCCACCUGCAAAGCGGGAGACCUGGGUUCGAUCCCUAGGUUGGGAA
rnacentral:tRNA from 1 species